UCUCUCCCAGGCCACAAGACAUUUCCUGCUCGGAACCUUGUUUACUAAUUUCCACUGCUUUUAAGGCCCUGCACUGAAAAUGCAAGCUCAGGCGCCGGUGGUCGUUGUGACCCAACCUGGAGUCGGUCCCGGUCCGGCCCCCCAGAACUCCAACUGGCAGACAGGCAUGUGUGACUGUUUCAGCGACUGCGGAGUCUGUCUCUGUGGCACAUUUUGUUUCCCGUGCCUUGGGUGUCAAGUUGCAGCUGAUAUGAAUGAAUGCUGUCUGUGUGGAACAAGCGUCGCAAUGAGGACUCUCUACAGGACCCGAUAUGGCAUCCCUGUGAAAAGCUCUUACCGAAGCAACAAAAUUCAGCAGACACCUCUUCAGCUUGAGUUCUUCACCAUCUUUUGCAACUGAAAUAUGAUGGAUAUGCUUAAGUACAACUGAUGGCAUGAAAAAAAUCAAAUUUUUGAUUUAUUAUAAAUGAAUGUUGUCCCUGAACUUAGCUAAAUGGUGCA
rnacentral:lncRNA from 1 species